UUUACCAGCAGGAACUCUCCGGCUCUCUGUGUCAUCAGGAUGCGGGCAACACAGAGGUCUGCCAGUCAGUCCAAGGUCGGACCUUCGGUGCACCUGCCAUCCAGUAGAGAAGCAAGAAUUUCAGCCUGAGUGAAGCCAUUGCCAGUUCCUGCCAGGACACAGGGGGCAGGAAACUCACAUGCUUACAGGACCUGACGGGUGACAUUAACGAAGUAAGCAGGUGAGGGGGGGACAACAAUAUUUCACUUUCCUCUCUACUAUUAAAAAAAAGAUAACGUUGCUGAUAAAUGGCCUUGGUGACUCUGACAAAGAGGAGAGGAGAGAUAGGAUGGACAAGACCCCAGCCUUUCCUACAGGGGUGAGUGCUUCUCCACCACAAGCAGAACGCCAGCCCCAUGUCCAAGAGACAUAAAAAGCCCAGAUUUUUAUGUGAACGCUUUCAAAUUUGUUGACAAGUACUUCAAAUUUUUAAAAUACUGUGGGAGACCACUAAACAUGUCUGUACCCAUUUAGCCCCUUGGCCACACAGUUUGCAAACCCUAGAUUCACCCUAGAUCCGUGGUUUGCUAUUUUCUCUUUCAUUUGGCAGUUUUCCAAAGCAACAGGGUAGGUUUGGAGCCUCAGUUUACCUGUGUGUAUGUGCCAGGAUUCGGGCAGGUGGUUCUGCGUGAGCACCCCCUGGGUGUGCUCGCUCAGGCACGUGCGGUGGUGAAGAGUGGGUGAGAACGGUGAAUAUUCACAUCCUUGAGUUCAGGGAGAACAAGCAUGUGUGUGGUCAGGUAACCAGGGUGGACCAGCCAAGGUGGGGUGUUGGGAGGCAAAGGGAACUAUCAGAAAUGUCCCUGCAUCAUCUCCCUCCAGGAGUCUCCCUGGGGUCAGGCAGUCCCUCUCCUGCCCAGCUCAGCCAGGGCUGCAGAACAAGGAUGAGGACAGAGCGGUGGACCCGGGUCUAGCUGUAGUGCCUCGCUGGCACAGGUAAGGCCAGCUUCAGCACCCAACGCCGAUUCCCCAGCAUUCACCCCAGGGAGGUUCGACAUCCCGGAGCCCGAGCAGACCACGCCGCAGGAGAGAGAAAAGUGGCCAGCUGCUGGCCUGCGGAUCUCCCAAAGCUGUUGCCAUGGCCACAGGGACUUUUGAUGUGAAGCGUCGUGACACCGCCCCCCCCCCCUUCCCGUCUCCACUCUCCUUCUGGAUGACGUCAUGGACGUCCGCGGCCCUGACAGGCCACCUUGGCUUGGUCUAGGCUUUAAAGCAGCUGGUCGCCCCUGGACCCCGCAGCUGCGGUGACUGUGUCUACACCGGGACGACCGUGCCCGGACUCUGGACCCACCUCCAGCCCUGGCAGCGCGGCCACCGCUCCGGACAGAACAGAUUGCCUGAAAGAGAAAGAAGUGGAAAGCAGCAGUCUUCCUUCCUGGCCGUGGCGACCCAUGCCAGGUAAAAUCCCGACCAGGGUCCCGGUCCGGUACUCCUCCGCCCAGGUCAAGGGCUCGCGAAUAGACCGGCAGCUGACCGGAGCUAAGAUUCACGAGCCUGAGCCUGGGGCUGCUUCGGAGGGCAGGAGGAGGGGGCAGUCGGGCUUGGCACCUGCCAAAGGUACCGUGCGCGCCGCCAAAUUCACGCAAAGGAAGGAGGGCGGUGGGGGCCCUGGGAAGAGGGAGGCGGCUCCUCAGCCCGGCAGCCGGGCGCUCCUACGGGGUGCUCCGCCAGCUCGAGUUGUGGGGGCGUCUAAUCCUCGUACCCACCUGCGGGGCGAUGCCAAAACCCGGCUUGCCGUUUGCCUGGCUCGGUCCGGCGCCCCCUCGGAGAUGCGCGCUCUCCAGACCCAGACUCCCAAGGCCACUACUGCCGCUCGCUCGUCUCCCGCGCUGCUCGCCCUUCCGAUUCCAGACGCAGCAGACCUGUUGCAUGCCGAAAAGCGGCGGGGUUUAGUGUUCCAAGGCCUCUCCUCCCUGCCUUGCCCGACGCGACCCGCCACAAGAUUUGAGCGCCAGGAGUCCCAGGACUCUGCCUGCAGAUGCCCACAGAGCCCGGUGCCGAAGGAGAAAAUGUGGGAAGUGCCAGGAGGAAACUGGCGGACAGAGCGGCUGCCCUUCGGGUCCCUAGCUCGGGAGUCAGAUCGGGCUUUGGGAGAUCCCCAGAGCCCCUCCACCGCGAAUCCGAGCUCCUGCUUCAGCACCAGAGGCCGGACAGCGCCACGGCCCGCGAGCGCCGGGGGUGGGUUCCGGCGGCGGCUGGGCUCCCAGCCCCACGCCGCGCGCUCGUGGUCCUCAGUCGCCACGCCGAGGAGGCCAGGAGGCGAGGUAGGGCUUGCCGAGGAAGAGGGGAUUCAUCUUCCUCAUUUCUCCAGGGAUUUAGGUGUCGGAUUCUAGGAGGGCAGUCCAUCUCCUCUUGGCUAAGACCGGGUGGAAUAACUUGGUGCCAAGCGCCGGUAGGGUACAGAAGAGCAAAAAGGCGCGCGUGUAAGUGGUCAGCGUAGGGGCAAGCGGGACAGUGAUCCACGGGGAGCCCCAUUCGCUGGUGUGCUGUGAAAGACCGCCGCAUCCAAGUCCUGUACUCUCUCAACCCCUCUCCCGCCCCCCACUUCCUCCUUCUCUCCCUCUCUCUCUCUCCCCACAAUCUCCAUACGCCUGAACCGUGGGCGAAUGAAGGGAAAAGCGUGGGAUGGAGAAGAUACUGAGAAAUUUGAGGCUGAGUGACAAGUAGAAAAGCUGGAUGGAUGAUGGAGAUGAUGGCCUUCUAAUUUGGUGUAAGAGCAGACCCCUCACUUUCAAGGAAGGUUUGUGGCGCGGAGGUGGCGGUGACCCAUGGGAACUGGAGAUUGUCCGAGUCCCUCGUGGCCCUGGACUUGGGUAGGUCUUUUAAUUUUUCUUUCUCCCUGCACCAAAUACUGCUAUUUAGGGAUGCUGGCAUUGGUCUCCACUUCUUUAAAAGUUAGAGCUGUCAAGUUCCCUCCCUUCCAAGACGGAAGCUCUCUGACAACACCCUGGGAGAACCUUUAACCUGACAAAGCCUUAACAUGAGUACAGACCCCUGUGGUCAGUCUUGUCUUGGUUCUUGGCUGGAGAGGAUGCUGGGAGUGCAAAGAUGCUUGACCAUAAUGGUGCUCUCAAGAACCACCUCCUCUAGCGGCCCCAUCUGUGCAAGGGUUUCCAUGGGACCAUGAGCCCCAGUGCUAGACUAGAAGCCCUUCAAUAUCAGGGGCUAUGUAUUGCACCCCUUUGACUGCUUGGAGCUUAAUUAUGUUUAAGGUAGGGGCUCAACAAAUGUUUGAACUGAAUCCUACAGGCUAGUAUUAGGACUCGUCUCUUCACUUCCUCUUUAUGACAAUGGCGGCUCUAACCCUAGACCCUCCCCCACCAGUCCCUUCCAAAAGCUUCAUAUUCUCUAGCUCUCUUCACAAAAGAUAAAUGAAGGCUCAGUUAAUUGUUGCCAUGGUUACGUGGAGUGGCCACACUGAGGAUCCCUAUCACCCAUUACUGUGAGGAGGAAAAAGAAAGGAGGGGUUCGGGGAUCAUUGUCAGGGAGGAAACCAUGGAAACAGGCAUUGCUAAGGGGAUGUCUUCAAAUUCAGAGGAAAGAAACCAGAAGUGGGGAGAGGGAGUUGGGGGCUCAAGGGCAGGUCAUUUUUUCCAGGUAUGUUUCUCCGAGACUAUAGCAGCCUCUUUUGCUACUUACAUCUUCCCCCAACCCGGACAGAGCCCAGAGUUACAGAAUUUGAGAAAACAGGGGCCACUGUGAGGCUCCAGUCCAUCUUCAUUGGUCCUGGAAGGAAAAAGCCAAUGAAAAUGGAUCUCUUGUAUUCACAUCAUGAUCACACUUUAUCCCUGAUCUCUGCCUUUUUGCCAACCAGUUUCACAUACUAUGAGCCAGGCUCGGAGCUAGGCACUGGGCUAUAAGGAUGAGCAAAGGAGCCCCUGCUCGCACGCUGAGCUUACAUCAGGACAGCCACCUGGUGGCUUUGGGGCCAGGGUGGCUCCCAUGGGCUGGACUGGACAGUCCCGUAAGGUGGUGUCCAGAGGGCUGCCAGGAUUCUCUCCAAAUUCUCUGUGUAAUACCUUUUAGCUUAUUUAUCACUGCCUGAAGUUUACUGAGAGCUCCCUGAGGACCGCCUGCUUCUCCUGGGAAUAUCUGGGUUCUGACUCCUCUGGGGAACCCCUGGCAUCUCAGUGAGACUUCUCCAACAUCAGCACUCAGGUCUUUUUCUCUGAACCAAUACACCGAGGAGAAUGUCCUGGCCCUCUCUCCACACUGCCAAAGAGACACGGUGUUUGUUGUUGUUGCUUUAAAGGGAAAUACGAGACAACAAAUACUCUCCUCCUUGAGGGGUUUACAUGGGGGGCGGGGGGGGGGCGGUGCUCAGCCCCCUGCAGCCUGGAGCAGCAUUGCUAGCCCCUCACUGGGACUGGGGAGAGGGAGUCUGGGCCUCCUGGGCGCACCUUCCUUCACAUCCUCCACAGCAGAUCUCUGCAUUUUCCCAGGCCCACCUGCCUAGAGCUGACAGCUGGAAGGGGCUAGGGCCCCAGAGCUGGGCCCUGCCAGCUUUCUCCAUGGCCUUCACUGCCCCUCAGUUGCUCCUUCUCCAGGCAAGCCGGUCCCCACUCUGGGUGGAGAGAACACAGCGAAGCACGGAGGGGUGGACGACAGAGGACGAGUACUCAAUUAAAAAGGGAAAGAAUUAAAAGCAGCACCAAUAAGGAAGGGUAAUUAUCCUCCGGCUGCUGCAGAAAUACAAUUAUGGCCGUGCCCUCGGAGCCGCCAGGAUAUUGCGGCUUUUGCUAAUUAACAGGCGGAUAUGCCCUGCCAGUGCAAUUAGCGGCUGGCGAGGCAGCGGGUGCCUGGCCUUGCCUGCUUCAGGGGCGAGCGGGGAAAUGCACCGGGG